CCCUUAGAUGUUCUGGGCUGCACGCGCGCUACAAUGAUGUAUGCAGUAAGCUAUCCUUUUGCGGAAGCAUAAGGGAAUCUUAUAAUCUACAUCGUGAAGGGGAUAGAUCCUUGUAAUUCUUGAUCUUGAACGAGGAAUGCCUCGUAAGCAUGAGUCAUCAACUCAUGCUGAUUAUGUCCCUGCCCUUUGUACACACCGCCCGUCGCUCCUACCGAUUGGGUGUGCUGGUGAAACUUUUAGAUUGGUACAGUUUUGCUUCAUUGUCUACUAGUGUACAUACUGCGCUGAAAACUUUGUUGAACCCUCACAUCUAGAGGAAGGAGAAGUCGUAACA
rnacentral:rRNA from 1 species